rnacentral:rRNA from 1 species
ACGCGUGAGUAACCUGCCUUCAANAGGGGGAUAACAUUCUGAAAAGAAUGCUAAUACCGCAUGACAUAUCGGAACCACAUGGUUUUGAUAUCAAAGAUUUAUCGCUUGAAGAUGGACUCGCGUCCGAUUAGUUAGUUGGUGAGGUAACGGCUCACCAAGACCGCGAUCGGUAGCCGGACUGAGAGGUUGAACGGCCACAUUGGGACUGAGACACGGCCCAGACUCCUACGGGAGGCAGCAUG